rnacentral:rRNA from 1 species
CCAAGAAUGUUUCCAUUAAUCAAGAACGAAAGUUAGAGGUUCGAAGGCGAUCAGAUACCGCCCUAGUUCUAACCAUAAACGAUGCCAGCUAGCGAUCUGGCUGUGUUCCUCAAAUGACACGCCGGGCAGCUUCCGGGAAACCAAAGCCUUUGGGUUCCGGGGGGAGUAUGGUUGCAAAGCUGAAACUUAAAGGAAUAGACGGAAGGGCACCACCAGGAAUGGAGCCUGCGGCUUAAUUUGACUCAACACGGGAAAUCUCAUCCGGCCCGGACACAGGAAGGAUUGACAGAUUAAGAGCUCUUUCUUGAUUCUGUGGGUGGUGGUGCAUGGCCGCUCUUAGUUCGUGGAGCGAUUUGUCUGGUUAAUUCCGUCAACGAACGAGACUCUAGCCUAUUAAAUAGACGCUCCGAUCCUCACCGUCGGACGCUCUUCUUAGAGGGAUAAACGGCGUUUAGCCGCACGAGACAGAGCAAUAGCAGGUCUGUGAUGCCCUUAGAUGUCCGGGGCCGCACGCGCGCUACAUUGAAGGAAACAGCGUGUGCUUUCCCUCUCUGACAAGAGUGGGUAACCCGUUGAAACUCUUUCGUGCUGGGGAUAGAAAUUUGAAACUGUUUUUCUUGAACGAGGAAUUCCCAGUAAGCACGAAUCAUCAAUUCGUGUUGACUACGUCCCUGGCCUUUGUACUCACCGCCCGUCGCUAUUGCUGAUAGAAUAAUUUAGUGAGGUCUUCGGACUGGCGCUCGGAUCGGCCUUUUGGGUCACGAGCCGCGGUGCCGGAAAGAUGACCGAACUUGAUUAUUUAGAGGAAAUAAAAGUCGUAACAAGGUUUCCGUAGGUGAACUGGGG